AUACGGAGGGUGCAAGCGUUACUCGGAAUCACUGGGCGUAAAGCGCGCGCAGGCGGUCUUUUAAGUUGGAUGUGAAAGCCUACAGCUCAACUGUAGAACUGCAUCCAAAACUAUUAGACUAGAGUCUGGGAGGGGAAGAUGGAAUUAGUUGUGUAGGGGUAAAAUCCGUAGAGAUAACUAGGAAUACCAAAAGCGAAGGCAAUCUUCUGGAACACUACUGACGCUGAGGCGCGAAGGCGUGGGGAGCAAACAGGAUUAGAAACCCCAGUAGUCC
rnacentral:rRNA from 1 species